ensembl:lncRNA afadin- and alpha-actinin-binding protein B-like
GUUAUCAGCUGUGCAUGGAGUGUGGGUGUGUCUUAGGUUUGCUCCACUCAUUAAGGAAACUUCAAAAACACCCUUAAUUGGAGGAAUAAUAUCUAACUUGAACAGCAGCUUUUUAAAGAAGCAGGUUGACUGAUUUUAAUUCAAAAUGUUUCGUCUUCUCGCUGUCUCCUGUGAGUGUUAAUUAGUAAAACUGCCAUCAGCUGGAAAGGAAAUAGGGAGUGUCACUGCAGUCCAGAUGGCUUCCAGGUUUGCCCAGAGGAAGGCGGGAAAACAUAAGGAGUACUCGGAGUCCUAUCUGAUGAGGGAUCAUGAUGAGCUCCCUCACAGUGCCUCCUGGUGGACUGACAGGGAAGAGCAGAGAGACCAGGGAGACUCUCUCAGGGAGCAGCUAAAAGAGAUGGAUGAGCAUGUGGCCAGGCUUCAGGACAUGCUGAAAUGUGAGCGGGCCAAAAGCGCCCGCCUGCAGCUGCAGUGUAACCAGCAGGAGGCAGAGUUGAGGCGCAGAGAGCUGCACAGCAACAGAUUGAAGGAGCGACUAUCACAGCAGACUGACAGACACAGAGAGAAAGGACCAUCCAUAGAGGUGCUGAACUUUCCACCUGGAGGCAGAGGCAAAAAGGAACCACCAAUCAAAUCAUUCAGAUCUACUGCCAGACGAGAGGAGGCGACGCUGCGUCUGAUGCUGGAGCGCAGGGAAGCCGAGCUCAGAGAGGCCAUGAAGCUUCGGCACAGCCUCACAACUUUACUUCAUACACUCAGAGUCAACAUGGAGCAGAUGCUGUCAGAGUCCAUGGAUGUCGCCCAAGAUGGAGACAAAAGGAUGGAUCAAGCUGAGGUGGCGCUUGGUGAACAUGUGACAGGUGGUGUCAUCCAGAGUUGGAGGCAGGUACAGAAGAGACUGUUGGAUGUCCUGUCAGAAGGUAAAUUGAGAGUGAUUCUGUGAAAUAUUACAAUUUUUUUAAUCAAAAUUAUAAGCUUGUUUUUUUUGGUCUGUAGGCCAAACUGUUGCCGGCACUGACCAUGACAAGCUCCUGACUCAGCUAGAAUCUGAACUUAAAGAGAACCAACAGCUGGUCAGGUUACAACAGCAGCUGCUGCAGGUAUAACACAUGUUUAUGGCGCACCCACAUCUUUCAUAAGAGCUCAUAGAAAUCCUUUCUGUAGGACAGCCUUGUUUCCCCAGUUCCCUCUGAAAUCGCUGAUUCCUACUUCCUGGAAGAGUGGGAUCGUCUUCAGAUGCGUUGGACAGAGCUCGAUCAUCAGAGGAGGACGUUUGAAAGAGAGCGGCAGUCCUUCACUGAGGCUGCCAUUCGACUAAGCCAUGAGGUGAGAAGAACAUGCGGCAGACUUCAGACUUUUAAGGGAGGGACUGAAUUGUAUGAUUUCAGUUUUCACAUAUUAUUAUAAAUGUUUUUCAGCGUCGUGACUUUGAACAACAAAAGGCUUCUCUUGUGAGGCAGCAGUAUCUGUGUGACUCGCCUCCCAAUGGACACAGAGCCCCGAGCCGGAG